rnacentral:rRNA from 1 species
AAAUUGAAGAGUUUGAUCAUGGCUCAGAUUGAACGCUGGCGGCAGGCCUAACACAUGCAAGUCGAACGGUAACAGGAAGCAGCUUGCUGUUUCGCUGACGAGUGGCGGACGGGUGAGUAAUGUCUGGGAAACUGCCUGAUGGAGGGGGAUAACUACUGGAAACGGUGGCUAAUACCGCAUAACGUCGCAAGACCAAAGAGGGGGACCUUCGGGCCUCUUGCCAUCAGAUGUGCCCAGAUGGGAUUAGCUAGUUGGUGAGGUAACGGCUCACCAAGGCGACGAUCCCUAGCUGGUCUGAGAGGAUGACCAGCCACACUGGAACUGAGACACGGUCCAGACUCCUACGGGAGGCAGCAGUGGGGAAUAUUGCACAAUGGGCGCAAGCCUGAUGCAGCCAUGCCGCGUGUAUGAAGAAGGCCUUCGGGUUGUAAAGUACUUUCAGCGGGGAGGAAGGUGUUGUGGUUAAUAACCACAGCAAUUGACGUUACCCGCAGAAGAAGCACCGGCUAACUCCGUGCCAGCAGCCGCGGUAAUACGGAGGGUGCAAGCGUUAAUCGGAAUUACUGGGCGUAAAGCGCACGCAGGCGGUCUGUCAAGUCGGAUGUGAAAUCCCCGGGCUCAACCUGGGAACUGCAUUCGAAACUGGCAGGCUUGAGUCUUGUAGAGGGGGGUAGAAUUCCAGGUGUAGCGGUGAAAUGCGUAGAGAUCUGGAGGAAUACCGGUGGCGAAGGCGGCCCCCUGGACAAAGACUGACGCUCAGGUGCGAAAGCGUGGGGAGCAAACAGGAUUAGAUACCCUGGUAGUCCACGCCGUAAACGAUGUCUACUUGGAGGUUGUGCCCUUGAGGCGUGGCUUCCGGAGCUAACGCGUUAAGUAGACCGCCUGGGGAGUACGGCCGCAAGGUUAAAACUCAAAUGAAUUGACGGGGGCCCGCACAAGCGGUGGAGCAUGUGGUUUAAUUCGAUGCAACGCGAAGAACCUUACCUGGUCUUGACAUCCACAGAACUUUCCAGAGAUGGAUUGGUGCCUUCGGGAACUGUGAGACAGGUGCUGCAUGGCUGUCGUCAGCUCGUGUUGUGAAAUGUUGGGU